GACGAACGCCGGCGGCGUGCUUAACACAUGCAAGUCGAACGGAAAGGCCCUGAUUUUGUGGGGUGCUCGAGUGGCGAACGGGUGAGUAACACGUGAGUAACCUGCCCUUGACUUUGGGAUAACUUCAGGAAACUGGGGCUAAUACCGGAUAGGAGCUCCUGCUGCAUGGUGGGGGUUGGAAAGUUUCGGCGGUUGGGGAUGGACUCGCGGCUUAUCAGCUUGUUGGUGGGGUAGUGGCUUACCAAGGCUUUGACGGGUAGCCGGCCUGAGAGGGUGACCGGCCACAUUGGGACUGAGAUACGGCCCAUACUCCUACGGGAGGCAGCAGUGAUGAAUAUUGCACAAUGGGCGGAAGCCUGAUGCAGCAACGCCGCGUGCGGGAGGACGGCCUUCUGGUAGUAGACGACAUUCGCCUGUGACGAAGUGGGAGUGACGGUAAUAGGUAAAGAAGCACCGGCUAACUACGUG
rnacentral:rRNA from 1 species